AAAUAUAUAUUAUGUCAGUACACUUCAUGUAUGGCUGGUAAUAUUCUUAUUCUAAGGUGUUAGUAUUUAUUGAUGAUCUGAAUGUGCCAGUACCAGAGGAGUAUGGGGCCCAGCCACCACUCGAGCUUAUCCGACAGUUUCUGGAUUUGGGAGGAUUUUAUGACACACAUCAGCUUGUAUGGAAGCAUGUCCAGGACAUGUCCUUGGUAGCCUCUUGUGCAGCUUCAAGUGAAGGAAGAAAUCAGAUCAGCACUCGUCUUCUAACACAUUUUUGCAUGUUGGCUUUGCCUGCAACUUCCUUACAAUCUUUGCAGCGUAUUUUCCAGGUACGUCUGGGAAUAUACUUUUAUAACAACAGAUUCUUGGCAGAGGUUCAGAAGUGCAUUGAUCUUUUAACAUGCUGCUCUAUAGCUCUGUACUACAAAAUGUCUUGUACAAUGCUUCCAACUCCAACCAAAUGCCAUUACACAUUUAACC